UACGAAGGGGGCUAGCGUUGCUCGGAAUUACUGGGCGUAAAGGGCGCGUAGGCGGAUAGUUCAGUCGGGGGUGAAAGCCCGGGGCUCAACCUCGGAACUGCCUUCGAUACUGGCUAUCUUGAGUACGGGAGAGGUGUGUGGAACUCCGAGUGUAGAGGUGAAAUUCGUAGAUAUUCGGAAGAACACCAGUGGCGAAGGCGACACACUGGCCCGUUACUGACGCUGAGGCGCGAAAGCGUGGGUAGCAAACAGG
rnacentral:rRNA from 1 species